rnacentral:lncRNA from 1 species
CGCAAAGGCAUAGUGCAGGUUCAGUAGCAUAGCCUGUGUGGCUUGUGGUUCAUGAAUCAGACUGCCUAAUCCCGGGAACCACAAGGGACAUCUGUAAAUCCAUUGGCCAGUUCCUGAGCUUCUUCUGUUUCAGAGCUAUGUUUCCCAGUGGGCUGCCACAUCUUUGGGUUUCCAGUACUUGGAAUUUUGCUUUCCAGUUGCAGAGCUAAGAAGCCAAUUCACAUUCCAUCGUUGUCCCAAAGUCUUUUUCCUAUUUUGAAUGCCCCAUCUUGUCUGGAUUUAUCAAGGGUCCACAGAUUUACAACUUGAGGUGGCCUGCACCAGACCCACGGGGCAAUAACAGUCUUCCAUUGAAUUCUUUAGCAGUUUCUACAAUUGCAUAAGUUAACAAGAUCAACCUUGCUGGGAAAUGAACAAGCGACCAGGACUGCGUGCAAUUCUACUUGGAGAUCUUCAUAACACCUUAAGGGAAAAAUCCUUUUUGAAAGAAAAACAAGUCUGGGUGGUGCUUGAAAAUUCAGAAGGCAGCUAGAAACUCUGCCAAUUACAACUGGUGAUUGCUGAGUUCUGGAGACAGACUGGGCUUCUGCUUUCUUUUGGUGGAGGUGUCUGCUUGCAGAAAAUUUAUGUUCUGGGAUUUACAACUUCAGGGAGACAAAGGAAACUCCAGCUCAUCUCCCACAUCAUUGAUUGAGAGGACCAUUUUCUGACUGUCUGCACACGUUUCCUAUACUACCCUUUAAUGCAACAAUGGGAUGAAGAGAUGAAGACUUCUAGCAGGCUACCUCAGAAAGGUUGCUGACCAAAGGCUGUAUGGACCAAAAAGUCAUAACACCACCCUGGAUGAAAGGACAUUUACCUAAGGAAUUACCCGCUCUCAAUUCUUCCCAGGGAUGGGCAUUUGAAUUAUUUCCAGUUUUUGGCUAUUAUGAAAAAAACUGCUAUGAACAUUCAUACACAAGUGUGUGUGUGGACCCAUGUUUUCACUGAUCAAGGCCUAAAUACCUACGGUAAGUAUACAUUUAACCUUAUAAGAAAAUGCAAAACUAUUUUUCCAAAGUAGUAUCAUUUUACAUUUCUUCUAACAACAUAUGAGAAUGGCAGUUGCUCUACUAAUAUGGUUUGGCUUUGUGUCCCCACC